GUAAUACAUGCAUUACUGCGUAGAUCACAUAUCUGUCGCUCUGAGACAGGGCAAACUACGUGAGGAAAAUGUGGUGAGGUUAGAUAAGAUGGAUACAAAAAUUUGCUUUCUGAAAAUAGAUAAUACGUGGGCGAUGUUUUAUGUUCGAGAAGGUGACGUAUAUUUAAUAAAUAUACAUAUAUUUCAUUCGAGAAUUAAAUGUAGAGAUAGUUUUAAUGUGGAAAUUGACUAACAAUAUGUCGAACUUUAAAAUUACUCUUGCAUAAAGCACAGGAAAUAUGACUCAUCAAUUUCAAGAUGUUUUUAAUCCCGAAACUAAAAGGCAGGACAAUUUUGAGAAGUUAAAAGGAUAGACUGAGAAGGAUAAAUCUACGCAGCUAACGGUGUAUUUCUAGCAGAGAAUUAAAUUAUUUGUAACUUCAAACAUAAGGUUCAAGCAACAAUCUUGUGCCUGAACUUUCUUCGUUGAUUUGUUAUUCAAAAAUUACACCAUGUAAACAAUU